rnacentral:lncRNA from 1 species
UUUAAGUAAUUUUAAACCUUACAGAAAUUCCUCUCUUCUUCAGGAAGUGGUUUCUUUAUAAGCCUUUGAAUUUUUCCUUUAGAAUUGUACACAGUUUUCCUUGAAGUUUUCACAAUGAUGUGUUUGUCAGCUUCAAGAAAUGCAAGGAGCUGUCCUCAUGACUUGGGGGUCACCUGUCCCUUUGGCUAAAGGAAGUCAUUGCAGAAAAUAAGCAAGUUCUGGUGAAGAUCUGCAGAGCGGCCGCUUCAGUGCACAGAGACAAUACACUGUACACAGAUUUCAGAUUGCAGUAGUGUUUGGGCUCUGACACACAAUGUUUCACUCUGUUGUUUGAGAUUUUGCCACAAAAACCUUGGGAAGAAAGGAACCUUCUUCCCCAUUGCAAGGCUGGUAUUGUUUGGGAUACCCUGCUGGGCUUCUGAAGAGAAGUGA